AAGGGAGACCUAAUUCAGGUAGGAGACGAAAAAAAAGUAGUCGCUACCAAGAAUCAAUCCCAAAAGGUCGGAGCGAGGCGAAAUUGGCUUUCAAACUAGGUUCUGGGUUCACACAAGACCUGAAUCAGGAACAAGGGCUAUUAGCUCAGGUGGUUAGAGCGCACCCCUGAUAAGGGUGAGGUCCCUGGUUCGAGUCCAGGAUGGCCCACCUGCACAGGUGGCAAAAACAAAGAAAAAAAGCUCCGAAUCAGCACCUUAUCUUACUUAUAUAGUAAGAGAGAAUGCUGGCUCUGAGUACAGAGUCCAGAGGAACCUUGAAAACUGCAUAGAGCUAGGUGAAAAAGCCAAAAAAGAAGACCACAA
rnacentral:tRNA from 1 species